UGGGGAAUAUUGGGCAAUGGGCGAAAGCCUGAUCCAGCCAUGCCGCGUGUGUGAAGAAGGCCUUUUGGUUGUAAAGCACUUUAAGUGGGGAGGAAAAGCUUAUGGUUAAUACCCAUAAGCCCUGACGUUACCCACAGAAUAAGCACCGGCUAACUCUGUGCCAGCAGCCGCGGUAAUACAGAGGGUGCAAGCGUUAAUCGGAAUUACUGGGCGUAAAGCGCGCGUAGGUGGUUAUUUAAGUCAGAUGUGAAAGCCCCGGGCUUAACCUGGGAACUGCAUCUGAUACUGGAUAACUAGAGUAGGUGAGAGGGGAGUAGAAUUCCAGGUGUAGCGGUGAAAUGCGUAGAGAUCUGGAGGAAUACCGAUGGCGAAGGCAGCUCCCUGGCAUCAUACUGACACUGAGGUGCGAAAGCGUGGGUAGCAAACAGGAUUAGAUACCCUGGUAGUCCACGCCGUAACGAUGUCUACCAGUCGUUGGGUCUUUUAAAGACUUAGUGACGCAGUUAACGCAAUAAGUAGACCGCCUGGGGAGUACGGCCGCAAGGUU
rnacentral:rRNA from 1 species